UUCCGCGCAGGCGCUUGCCUGAUACGGCACCUGGUUGACCCAGAUUCUUAUCGCCCGCUUCCGCUCCCUUGCGGACGUCGAAGUUUGUUGCCCUAUCCCUGAACCCUCAUCUUGCAUUAUAAAGGAGAAUGUAUGUGAGCUAUGCCUUUCUUGCUGUCCGGAUAUCUGAAAGAGAGAAGCAGCCAGGAAACCUCAGCAACAAAGGAGGAACUUCAGCAACAAAGGAGGAGAAACAGUGCCAAGGGGCUUCGCUGCUCAGAGUGGGUGGUCUGGGUUCAGACCUAGACAGAUACUGGCACUAACUCAAGUAAUUAGUGAUCAAUGUUAUUUGUACACUGCUGCUUUUGCAAUGACACAAUAUUGGAAAAAUUAAACUUAUCGCCACCACUGCCACCCUCCUUUUUUUUUUUUUAAUGUGGGAGAGGAAUACUUCACAGAAUGUCUGUAUAGGGUAUUCGCAGAUGACCUACAAGAAAUGUAAACAUUAACUACUGCAUUGAGGUCUAUGCCAAAAAAAGCAGUACAUUUUUUGGGAAGCAGGUUUGUUAUUCAUAAGAUCAACAGCACAAUAAUUGUGAAACCGGACCAGCCCACUCACUCAUCCCUCUUCCAAACCAAUCCAGUGUAGUAGUGUUAUAAUCCAGGUUAUACUUAAACUGCUUUCCAAAUCCUUCCUAUUCCCUGACCAUCAUGUUGUUUUCUUGUUUUAUUGAAAUCUGGCAUGUUUCUAACUGGGCUCAAGGUUUUGUGCAAAGAGUCAGAGUACUCACUUCGAGCAUGGUGUCUAUGCCUUAUUUGUUGAUUUGAAGAGACUUGCUGUACUAGGACAUAAUCCACAUUCAAAUAGACUGAGCUAUUCAGCACAGCUCUCCGCUCUCAUUCCCUUAUUCCUCAGGAUGCACCUUUGCUACUUAAUCAAGAGUUCAACAAUACAGUGUCUGUAACCAGAUUCAGAAACUUUGCCACAAAGCAUUACUUUAAGAAGAAAUUGCAACUCUGCUACUCAAAAUGAUUUGAAAAUUAAACAAAAUUAGAUGCUGACUUCAGCUACCCAACUUUGGAACAAGGAGGAAGAUUAUUUUCAUUGAUUCUUUCUUCCACUUGCAACAUUCUCUGCCACUUCCAGUGCUCAUUUGGAGAGUCACUCCUACGUUCAGGGACAAAUGGCCAAUUUCAAUUCACUGCAGGAAGGUUCCCUAAAUAAAAUUUCCAUUGUUUAAUUUAACUCAUUGUUCUUUAAAUUUUCUUUUCUUGGAUUCAUGAUUCAGGUAAUUUUCUGGAUAAUGUUUAAUCUUUUAGUAAGCUUUAGAAAUGACUACCCAUAAUUUUAAUUAAAAAAUCUAACUGGUUUAUUUAGCUUUUCCUAAUCUGAUCCAUAACAAUGUAUUACUUUUUCGUAUGGGAACAUAGUAUGUUUAUUGUAUAAAGGAUAACCCUCAAGGUAGACACAUUUCUAUCAUAAGGUGUAUUCUGUAAAGGAGAGGUUUAUUUCUGGCUAUAUGAAUAAAUGACAUUUUCUGUUAAUGACU